CUUCCCACCAGUGGACCAGAUCUACCACCUAGCCUCCCCAGCCUCCCCACCACACUACAUGUAUAACCCCAUCAAGACAAUCAAGACAAACACAAUAGGAACACUGAACAUGUUGGGUCUUGCUAAGAGAGUAAAUGGCAGAUUUCUGCUGGCAUCGACAUCAGAGGUGUAUGGAGGUAUGACCAAGGAU